AGUGAACGCUGGCGGUAGGCCUAACACAUGCAAGUCGAACGGCAGCACAGUAAGAGCUUGCUCUUACGGGUGGCGAGUGGCGGACGGGUGAGGAAUACAUCGGAAUCUACUUUUUCGUGGGGGAUAACGUAGGGAAACUUACGCUAAUACCGCAUACGACCUACGGGUGAAAGCAGGGGAUCUUCGGACCUUGCGCGAUUGAAUGAGCCGAUGUCGGAUUAGCUAGUUGGCGGGGUAAAGGCCCACCAAGGCGACGAUCCGUAGCUGGUCUGAGAGGAUGAUCAGCCACACUGGAACUGAGAGACGGUCCAGACUCCUACGGGAGGCAGCAGUGGGGAAUAUUGGACAAUGGGCGCAAGCCUGAUCCAGCCAUACCGCGUGGGUGAAGAAGGCCUUCGGGUUGUAAAGCCCUUUUGUUGGGAAAGAAAAGCAGCAGGUUAAUACCCCGCUGUUCUGACGGUACCCAAAGAAUAAGCACCGGCUAACUUCGUG
rnacentral:rRNA from 1 species